UACGUAGGGUGCGAGCGUUAAUCGGAAUUACUGGGCGUAAAGCGUGCGCAGGCGGUUUUGUAAGCCAGAUGUGAAAUCCCCGGGCUUAACCUGGGAAUGGCAUUUGGGACUGCAAGGCUAGAGUGCGGCAGAGGAGACUGGAAUUCCUGGUGUAGCAGUGAAAUGCGUAGAUAUCAGGAGGAAUACCGAUGGCGAAGGCAGGUCUCUGGGCUGACACUGACGCUCAUGCACGAAAGCGUGGGGAGCAAACAGG
rnacentral:rRNA from 1 species